rnacentral:rRNA from 1 species
AUUGAACGCUGGCGGCAUGCCUUACACAUGCAAGUCGAACGGUAACGGGCCUUCGGGUGCCGACGAGUGGCGAACGGGUGAGUAAUACAUCGGAACGUGCCCGAUCGUGGGGGAUAACGAGGCGAAAGCUUUGCUAAUACCGCAUACGAUCUACGGAUGAAAGCAGGGGACCGCAAGGCCUUGCGCGGACGGAGCGGCCGAGGGCAGAUUAGGUAGUUGGUGGGAUAAAAGCUUACCAAGCAGACGAUCUGUAGCUGGUCUGAGAGGAUGAUCAGCCACACUGGGACUGAGACACGGCCCAGACUCCUACGGGAGGCAGCAGUGGGGAAUUUUGGACAAUGGGCGCAAGCCUGAUCCAGCCAUGCCGCGUGCAGGAUGAAGGCCUUCGGGUUGUAAACUGCUUUUGUACGGAACGAAAAGCCUUCUUCUAAUACAGGAGGGUCAUGACGGUACCGUAAGAAUAAGCACCGGCUAACUACGUGCCAGCAGCCGCAGUAA